UUGUGAAUCAUCGAAUCUUUGAACGCACCUUGCGCUCCCUGGUAUUCCGGGGAGCACGCCUGUUCGAGUGUCGCGAAAUUUCUCAAGCUUGGAUGGCUUUGUUGUCCAUCCUUAGCCUUGGUUGUUGGGCUUUGCCGUGUCCUUCAUUUGGGACGGCUGGCCUUAAAAGCAUUAGCUGAUCCUUGUGUAGCACUGGUUCUACUCAGCGUGAUAAUAAUCUGAUCGCUGAGGACAUCUUUUGGGAUGGCCAGUUCUCAUUUGGGUUGCUUCUAAAUUUGGUUUUGCAGAUUGUUCAAUCUGUGUUCCACUUUUCAGCUUUGACCUCGAAUC
rnacentral:rRNA from 1 species